CAGGAGUGAUAGAGAGUAGUGGUCGCAAAAAUGAAGCAAAGAAUGAAUCCCCAUGUACAGGAGAAAAAUCGGUAAAAGCGGCAAUGGAUCCUUCGCAAAAUCAAAAAAUUGCAGGGAAGGCAGCACGGAUUCAGCCCAUUCCCAAAGAGCUGACACAACUGCCAGAAAAAGAUCUCAAUGACCUCGUGAAUGGUUUUGUUGAGUCAGCAAUAAACCGUAUUCACUUGCGGUAUGUACAAGUACAUCAUAAGACUUCAGACACAUAAGAAGUGUCCUAUAUUGAACUGACUUUACUCAUUUAUCAAACAAUUCGAAUUUUACGCGCCGAAAAGCUUAAAUCAAUGUUGCAUCCUGUAGUCUAUAUUUUUCCAUACAAAAUUUUGUCUGAUAAUGUAGUAAUUUUUUAAAAAAAAUCUUUGUAUAAAAAGUAACACAAAUAAAAUCGUCACAG